UACGGGGGGGGGCAAGCGUUGUUCGGAAUUACUGGGCGUAAAGGGCUCGUAGGCGGCCAACUAAGUCAUACGUGAAAUCCCUCGGCUUAACCGGGGAACUGCGUCUGAUACUGGAUGGCUUGAGUUCGGGAGAGGGAUGCGGAAUUCCAGGUGUAGCGGUGAAAUGCGUAGAUAUCUGGAGGAACACCGGUGGCGAAGGCGGCAUCCUGGACCGACACUGACGCUGAGGAGCGAAAGCCAGGGGAGCAAACGGG
rnacentral:rRNA from 1 species